rnacentral:misc_RNA from 1 species
CUGCAGGUGAGCCGGAUUCGAGUCCCACCCCGACGGCUGAAUCCGGCUGAAUUCCUCUCGCAGGAGCAGGGAGUGGUCGUGGCCACGGAGCAAGAACGCGCAGGAGGGGCAGAGGUAGUCGCGGCCACCGGCCUCGAGGCAGCGCUCCACGACGUUGGCGUCCAUGGCCACGCCGGCGAGUUAAGGGUGCGACAGACCUGUUCCACUGGACCACGCACCUCGAUGACGUGCGCGGAGGACGAGGGCGUUGGUCUUCCUUCCGCCCAGCAGAUUCCAUGGCUCUCGAGAUCUCCGUGCUUGCCCCGAACAACCACAUCGGCGAGCAAACCAGGUUGCGGCCCUGGCGGACGGUGGCGGCGGUGCUGCUGCCCUUGUCGCGGCGCGGUCAACAGCAAUUUCUCUGCCCUGGCGAGGAAUUACGGCCGCGAUUCACGGCAUCUGGGCAUGGCGAGAUGA